UACGGGGGGGGCAAGCGUUGUUCGGAAUUACUGGGCGUAAAGGGCUCGUAGGUGGCCAACUAAGUCAGACGUGAAAUCCCUCGGCUUAACCGGGGAACUGCGUCUGAUACUGGAUGGCUUGAGUUCGGGAGAGGGAUGCGGAAUUCCAGGUGUAGCGGUGAAAUGCGCAGAUAUCAGGAGGAACACCGGUGGCGAAGGCGGGUUGCUGGGCCGACACUGACGCUGAUGCGCGAAAGCUAGGGGAGCGAACGGG
rnacentral:rRNA from 1 species